CCCAGUUGAACGUAGAGGGGCAAGCGCAGCCCAGAGGUUGAACGAGGCGCUCUCUUUCCAGGCUGCUGACAAUCGAUGAACUGACACUUUUGGGGGGAAAUUUGUCUUGAGGGAUUCUAACUUCGCUGGACCCCCAGAGCCUUGGCACCUUGCUGCAAGGUAACACUGGUUUCAGGUGAGUGGACCUGGAGUGCCAGCAGGUGCAUCAGGAGUCAGCUUCUUUUGUCCUGAUGAUUCACCAAGAGAGCACACCCUUCAAAGAAGGCAGAGGUGGACACGCCUGAAGUCCCUGUUGUUUGUCCUCUACGCUCUCCUGGCCCUCUCCUGGCUCAUGGCUUCUCUGGUGGCAUUUGCCAGGUGUUGUGGAAUGUUAUUGCUCUGGGUGCUUGGGUGAGUUGCAGAUGCUCAAUUCGUGUGCCACGAAGUGUACAGAUAAGGCAGGUGCCCAAAGAGUGCUUCUGAUCUGAGGUUUAAAGGAACCACAGGCAUCAAAUGAAAUUGGAGAUCCUCACUUCCUCCCUGUGCCCACACUCUCACUGAGCAGGCGGGUUUUGGUUUUUACCACCAUUCAAAUCAGUUGCCCUUGGUAGGUCACCAGGCACUUCCCAUUGGAAAUCCAGUGGACAGGGGCACCUCGGUGACUCUGGGGUUGAGCGUCUGUGUUCGGCUCAGGGCGUGAUGCCGGGGUCCUGGGAUUGAAUCUCACAUCGGGGUCCCCACAGUGAGCCUGCUUCUCCCUCUGCCUGUGUCUCUGCCUCCCUCUCUGUGUCUCUCAUGAAUAAAUUAAAUCUUAAAAAAAAAAAAAGGGAAAUC
rnacentral:lncRNA from 12 species